rnacentral:rRNA from 1 species
CACCGCGGUUAUACGAGAGGUCCAAGUUGACAGACAGCGGCGUAAAGUGUGGUUAGGGCAGAACUAAGACUAAAGCCAAAUGCCCACAAAGCUGUUAUACGCACCCGAGGGCCAGAGACCCAACAACGAAAGUGGCUUUAAAUACCUGAACCCACGAAAGCUGCGAAA